rnacentral:tRNA from 1 species
GGGGAUAUGGUGGAAUUGGCAGACACGUCAGAUUUAGGAUCUGAUGCCUCGUGCGUGCAGGUUCAAGUCCUGUUAUCCUCA